rnacentral:rRNA from 1 species
ACGACGGGUAGCCGGCCUGAGAGGGCGACCGGCCACACUGGGACUGAGACACGGCCCAGACUCCUACGGGAGGCAGCAGUGGGGAAUAUUGCACAAUGGGCGCAAGCCUGAUGCAGCGACGCCGCGUGAGGGAUGACGGCCUUCGGGUUGUAAACCUCUUUCAGCAGGGAAGAAGCGCGAGUGACGGUACCUGCAGAAGAAGCACCGGCUAACUACGUGCCAGCAGCCGCGGCGG